UCAGGAGAGAGAAUGUUGGUUCAAAUCUAAGAUGCAGAGCAGAUUGGUUAAGGACUAAGUUAGUUGAUCAUUUCCUAAGACAAGACUAGGACUAGCAGCAAAGGUGGUAUGGAUACUAUCAAGAUGAGAGGAGAAGUGGACAAACUGAAAACUAGUUCAAGGUCUAACUUUACAAACAUGACCUACCCACUGUGGCAUCCCUCUUACGCUUAGCCUGAUGUGCUUUGGUAGAGGAAGCACCACCCAUAUGAGUCUGCAUUUGCCAAAGGUGCCUUAGAAGAAAGGGAAAGAACUGGAACAGGUCAGCAAGUCCCAUGCUAAUGGGACUCAUGUCAAGCUGGGUCAAGUUGGGGUGUAGAUCUCUCAUUGAGAGCUAAAGCAUGGCGCUAAAAUAAGGGAAAGCAGAGACAUAGAAAACAAUCAAAUCUGAAGAAACCAGAGGAUGGAGAUGGAGGCUGUAGAACAAGGUGGGAAUGGAAGCUGGUGGAGAACAAUAAGGUCCUGCUGAGGAUCCCUGGUGCCCAGUAGGGAACACCGUGAGGAGGAGGAUUAAGAAAGGCACCCUUUCCACUGAUUUGCAUCGCCAUUUGUACAUGGAGUUUGGCUACAGCAAAAUCCGUUGCUAUCUCACCAGCUACAAGAAGCAAAGAACGAAUUGCAAUUCAUUUUUGUGCUCUAGGACCCGGUUGAGGAGCUUUGAACCCUGAACCCAGCAUUCUGAGAGUGGGAACCAGAAAUGUGCAUUUGAAAAGACUCCCCAGGCAAUUCUGAUGAGGAGCCAGUGAGCCUGCUGAACCAGGUGACUACUGACAUCUCUUCUUUGAGUGACUUUCGACCAUCCCACAAAUGUCUGCUCGACGGUGUCCUGGAAGAGCUGGGUCAUGGCUCUCAUUACACACUACUCAGCAUCAUACACCAGGUUGUAUCACACAUCUCAUUCACACUACUGAGCAUCAUACACCAGGCUGUAUCACACUUUGUCCGGACUUCAUGAGUCUUCCAGUACAGUGAUGGGACGUAGGUUUUCUAGACUUGCCUAUGGGCUUCUCCUCUUUCCUAAUGAAGCUUCCACUCAUCCAAACGUCCUUUGAGGAGGAAAUUUAUCCAACUCACUCCACUGCAAAAGCUGGAGAACUGACAAGAUUCUUCCUGACCACUUCAGUGGCUAUGAUUAUAGGCAGUAUUGUGGUUUUCAUUUGCAAAAUGAGGAAUAAAGCUGCAGACAUUUCCAGUACUAGAAAUGGUCUGUUUGUAGCAUGAAGGUGCAUAUUCAUUUCUUUUUCUUUUUUCCUGA
rnacentral:lncRNA from 10 species